rnacentral:pre_miRNA from 1 species
GGUAGAUUCUUGGCAUCUGUCGAGGUCAUCUACAAAGUUUUCGUUUGUUGAUAUUAGAAAAAUAUAAAUUUUAGCAAGUGGAUCUAAAACAUUGUGGAUGAUCUCGAGGAUGCCCAAGGGUUUAUUA